GCAACAAGAAUGACAUCAAUUCACCCGAAUCCAAUACAUAAGGUAUACUCAUGAAAUUCUAAUAAUUGAUAUGAUCUAUCAGUCAAGUAACAUAAAAAACCAAACGAUUACUGCAGUCAAAAAUAGCUAGUGAGGUUAAACGCAUUUGAUCAUGCCUUGGUAGAUAAGAUCAUGAAACCAAAAGAAAUGGAACACUAUCAUGAAAGUAUACUUCUCACCUCAUAUCCGGCAA
rnacentral:lncRNA from 1 species